rnacentral:rRNA from 1 species
AGAGUUUGAUCCUGGCUCAGAUUGAACGCUGGCGGCAUGCCUUACACAUGCAAGUCGAACGGCAGCACGGGAGCUUGCUCCUGGUGGCGAGUGGCGAACGGGUGAGUAAUAUAUCGGAACGUACCCAGUCGUGGGGGAUAGCCCGGCGAAAGCCGGAUUAAUACCGCAUACGAUCUACGGAUGAAAGCGGGGGACCUUCGGGCCUCGCGCGAUUGGAGCGGCCGAUAUCUGAUUAGCUAGUUGGUGAGGUAAAGGCUCACCAAGGCGACGAUCAGUAGCUGGUCUGAGAGGACGACCAGCCACACUGGAACUGAGACACGGUCCAGACUCCUACGGGAGGCAGCAGUGGGGAAUUUUGGACAAUGGGGGCAACCCUGAUCCAGCAAUGCCGCGUGAGUGAAGAAGGCCUUCGGGUUGUAAAGCUCUUUUGUCAGGGAAGAAACGGUGAGCUCUAACAUAGCUUGCUAAUGACGGUACCUGAAGAAUAAGCACCGGCUAACUACGUGCCAGCAGCCGCGGUAAUACGUAGGGUGCGAGCGUUAAUCGGAAUUACUGGGCGUAAAGCGUGCGCAGGCGGUUGUGCAAGACAGAUGUGAAAUCCCCGGGCUCAACCUGGGAAUUGCAUUUGUGACUGCACGGCUAGAGUGUGUCAGAGGGGGGUAGAAUUCCACGUGUAGCAGUGAAAUGCGUAGAGAUGUGGAGGAAUACCGAUGGCGAAGGCAGCCCCCUGGGAUAACACUGACGCUC